GAUGAACGCUAGCUACAGGCUUAACACAUGCAAGUCGAGGGGAAACGACAUCGAAAGCUUGCUUUUGAUGGGCGUCGACCGGCGCACGGGUGAGUAACGCGUAUCCAACCUGCCCACCACUUGGGGAUAACCUUGCGAAAGUAAGACUAAUACCCAAUGACGUCUCUAGAAGACAUCUGAAAGAGAUUAAAGAUUUAUCGGUGAUGGAUGGGGAUGCGUCUGAUUAGCUUGUUGGCGGGGUAACGGCCCACCAAGGCGACGAUCAGUAGGGGUUCUGAGAGGAAGGUCCCCCACAUUGGAACUGAGACACGGUCCAAACUCCUACGGGAGGCAGCAGUGAGGAAUAUUGGUCAAUGGACGAGAGUCUGAACCAGCCAAGUAGCGUGCAGGAUGACGGCCCUAUGGGUUGUAAACUGCUUUUAUAAGGGAAUAAAGUGAGCCUCGUGAGACUUUUUGCAUGUACCUUAUGAAUAAGGACCGGCUAAUUCCGUG
rnacentral:rRNA from 1 species